UCACAACUGCUCCACUCUAUUAUAUUAUGGGCAUUUUUACUUGAAAACCCCAUAUUCAUUUCAAGCAAAUUGGUAGAGAGGAUCUGAUUUUGGGUUCCAUAUACUUGUUAUACGUUUUGUUAAAUAAGAGAUGUAAGCUCAAAUAAAAAGGAAAGCUUAGGCUUAGGUGGAGUUGUUGUUUGUACGUGAGACACCCCAUUAGCGGUUACGUUUAAACGGUUCUUAGUCCUACACACCGAUGCGGCGACGCGUUAUCUUUUGCCCCUAUUUCUAGUGCCCCCCUAUUUUUUGUUUUGUUUGCUUUUUUCAAAAAACCAUCAGCGCCCGCUUUUGCUCAUUCUCCGCCCAAACUUCAAUGCACUAUUAAUCACUUCAAUCAUGAAUUUCAUUCUAUUCUACUACUUUAUAAUUUAUGAAAUUUGUUUUUAUUUUCACUUUUAUUUAUUUCAUCAUCG
rnacentral:lncRNA from 1 species